rnacentral:tRNA from 1 species
GGUGAGGUGUUUGAGUGGUCACGGCUACGGACUGCUAAUCCAUUGUGCUCUGCAUGUGUGGGUUUGAACCCCAUCCUUGUCC